UACGUAGGGGGCAAGCGUUGUCCGGAUUUAUUGGGCGUAAAGAGCGUGUAGGCGGCUUUACAGGUCCGUUGUGAAAACUCGAGGCUCAACCUCGAGACGCCGGUGGAAACCGUAAAGCUAGAGUCCGGAAGAGGAGAGUGGAAUUCCUGGUGUAGCGGCGAAAUGCGCAGAUAUCAGGAGGAACACCCGUGGCGAAAGCGGCUCUCUGGGACGGUACUGACGCUGAGACGCGAAAGCGUGGGGAGCAAACAGG
rnacentral:rRNA from 1 species